rnacentral:rRNA from 1 species
UACGUAGGGUGCGAGCGUUGUCCGGAAUUACUGGGCGUAAAGAGCUCGUAGGUGGUUUGUCGCGUCGUCUGUGAAAUUCCGGGGCUUAACUCCGGGCGUGCAGGCGAUACGGGCAUAACUUGAGUACUGUAGGGGAGACUGGAAUUCCUGGUGUAGCGGUGAAAUGCGCAGAUAUCAGGAGGAACACCGGUGGCGAAGGCGGGUCUCUGGGCAGUAACUGACGCUGAGGAGCGAAAGCAUGGGGAGCGAACA